CUUCUCUCUCUCUGUCCUGCUCUGCCAUGGUAGAUGUGCUUGCUUUCCCUUUGCCUUCUGCCAUGAUUGUAAGUUUCCUAAGGUUUUCCAGCCAUGCUUCCUGUACAGCCUGCAGAACUGCUCUUUCCUUUAUAAAAUACCCAGUCUCAGGAUUCAAGCGAUUCUCCUGCCUCAGCCUCCUGAGUAGCUGGGACUACAGGUGCAUGCCACCACACCUGGCUAAUUUUUUUAUAUUAGUAGAGACAGGGUUUCACCAUGUUAGCCAGGAUGGUCUUGAUCUCCUGACCUCAUGAUCCGCCCGCCUUGGCCUUCCAAAGUGCUGGGAUUACAGGCGUGAGCCACUGUGCCUGGCCAGAUCGUGUAGACUUCAAUUGGCAGAGUUACUCAGUAUUAUUUACUUGGAAAAUCCUCUGUAACCUAAAAGUCCUAGCUCUCCUGACACUAAGGAUGACAAUGGAACACUUAAAUGGUAGCUGCCUAUGAAGGGCUGUCCCUCUACCCCCUUGUUCCCUCUGAAUCUGAAGCUAUUAGCCACUUACAAUCUUAAUAAACUAAAAUUUUUUUGGA
rnacentral:lncRNA from 1 species